CAUGAAGUCGGAAUUGCUAGUAAUCGCGGAUCAGCAUGCCGCGGUGAAUACGUUCCCGGGCCUUGUACACACCGCCCGUCACACCAUGAGAGCCGGUAAUACCCGAAGUCAGUAGUCCAACCCCGUGAGGACGCUGCCGAAGGUAGGAUUGGCGACUGGGGUGAAGUCGUAACAAGGUAAC
rnacentral:rRNA from 1 species